UUAUAUAGAAGUAAAAUAUUACAAUUAAUUUCGACUUAAUGUUAAAGACUAUCAUCUUCGUAUAAA
rnacentral:tRNA from 1 species